rfam:Ixodes scapularis strain Wikel colony gcontig_1108378549974, whole genome shotgun sequence.
UCCUGGUAAGCUCAGUUGGUAAAACGCUCCACUGGAAAUGGAGAGGUCCCGGGUUCGAUACCCGGACCAGGCG